rnacentral:rRNA from 1 species
CCUACGGGAGGCAGCAGUGGGGAAUAUUGCACAAUGGGGGAAACCCUGAUGCAGCGACGCCGCGUGAGUGAGGAAGUAUUUCGGUAUGUAAAGCUCUAUCAGCAGGGAAGAAAAUAGAGGGUACUUGACAACGAAGCCCCGACUAACUACGUCCAGGCAGCCGCGGUAAUCCGUAGGGGGCAAGCGUUGUCCGGAUUUCCUGGGGGGAAGGGGAGGGUAGACGGAAAGGCAAGUCAGAAGUGAAAGCCCAAGGCUCAACCAGGGGACUGCUUUUGAACCUGGCAAACUAGAGUACGGGAGGGGUAAGAGGAAUUCCUAGUGUAGCGGUGAAAUGCGUAGAUAUUAGGAGGAACACCAGUGGCGAAGGCGGCUUACUGGACCGAAACUGACGUUGAGGCGCGAAAGCGUGGGGAGCAAACAGGAUUAGAUACCCCAGUAGUC